rnacentral:misc_RNA from 1 species
GGAUGAAGAACGCAGCGAAAUGCGAUAAGUAGUGUGAAUUGCAGAAUUCAGUGAAUCAUCGAAUCUUUGAACGCACAUUGCGCCUUAUGGUAGUCCGUAAGGCAUGCCUGUUCGAACGUCAUCAAACCCCUCGAGUCCUCUGGCUUUGCGGCCACAGGAACCUCGGUUGUGCCCUUGGCGGAUUGGUUCUUCCAGUCCUCCUGGGCGAAAUACAUUGUGCUGAUCCACGGGUCGCCAAAGCGUAGUAAGCCUAAACAGCUCUCGCCUGGCAUCAGAUCUGGUAGGUGUCAUGCCGUUGAACCCAAUUCUAUAAGAGUUUGACUUCGGAUCAGGUAGGGAUACCCGCUGAACUUAAGCAUAUCAAUAAGCGGAGGA